CAGAGCAGCUGUAGGGGAGGAGCUCUGCUCUUAAAGAGAAGCCGUCCCAGUUUCAGCCAGCUGCUCGCCAAAACAGCGACCGGACCCGGGCCUGCUCCACGCAUCGCACAGAACACACACAAACCAAGCUUACUUCAUUAUCAGGACGGGACUGGGAUCCGUGCCCCCCCACCUCUCUCUCUAUCUGAGGCGGUAUCGGGUUUCAGGAAGACGACAGAAGGUUCCAGCAUGCUCCGAUGCCUAAAAUAGGCCAAACCCCACAGGCUACCUGUGGACACGUCCUGUAUCGGAGAACGCCUGCUCAGCGCUCGGGAAAACGGCGUCCGAAUAAACCAGUCGUAUCCACUUAUUCUAGAGAAGUCCCAGUAUACUUCGCGUUUUGGUUUUUUGACGAAUAACCGGACGUGGACGUCCAGCUCCCGGGCUCCGGGGAGACUUUCGACACAAGUCAGUGGAGUGGACUGGAGUCAUCAACUUUGUCAGCUGCGUUUGUUCAGUACAGCCGUGUAUUUAUAUUGCGAGCCCCAUGUAAAGAAAGAGCUCUAAUACAAAAAGAAAAAAAAGAAAAAGAACAACCUCUCCUCGAGCGAAAGAGCCAGUGACUCGGAGCCCGUCUCCUCCUCCAGCUGCGGCCAUUUUGUCUCUGAACGACAAGAACAGCUGUUUACAAACACCACUGCAGCUGCCUGGGGCUUCAUCCGAGAGGAUUAUAACCCACAACAGUUCUACCUACACACACGCACAUUAAUACUAAAACUAAAUAUUACAACCACAUCCGGAGCGUUCGGUUUAAUUACCUCCAUAUGAUCUUCUGUCUCAGAAGAACACAAUGAAACUAUUAUAAACACUAUACUACGGGUUUCCCGUCCUAAACGAAGGAAUAACACGAUAAUAACGGAUGUAGAAGUUGUAGUAGGAAUAAUAAUGGAAUUUUAUUUGGUAAAAAAACGCACACGCACAUUUAUGAGGUGUUUUAUUCGCGUCAGCGCCUUUACAAGUCGUGAGGACGGUAAACACACUGAUGUGUGUAUAGGUGUGUGUGUGUGUGUGUGUGUAGAAACGCCACAGGGUUGGGAAACUGCUGAAAUGUUCGUCUCCACACAGGGUUUUGUUUGCUUCGAAGGGCAUUACGUAAUUCUCGGUGUUUUCCUCCUGUUCUCUGGAGACGCUUCUUCACAACAAACCUACAGAAAACAUCCCUCAGAACAUCUCAACCCUGUGAAUGACCUCCUCCUCCUCCUCCUCCUCCUCAACACCCGGAGCUUUACAGGAAUCAAAUGAGUUUCAAAAAGCUCAAAUCAUUUAAUCGUCGAGCUGUGUGUGUGUGUGUGUGUGUGUGUGUGUGUGUGUGUGUGUUUUUUCGGCUCGUUUCCGUCUAUGUGGCUCUGCGUGAACACAAAGACACGGUCUGUCUCUGUCCAAACAAAACACACUCGGGCGCGAGCGCGCGCGCAUUUUUCCCUAACCGUCUUUUAGCAAUGACAGGGGCGCGCGCGAGAGAGAGAGGGAGAGAAAGGAGGGGGGGGAGAGAAGAAAAUAACAAACACUCGUUUCAAAAGGAGGAGGAGGAGGGGGAACAGACAGAAAGGGAAGAUUAUAACUUCUUCAGUUCUCACCUGCCAUCAUGUCCUGGAGAAUCUGGCUGAACGUCUGAAGUUGUCGGUCGUUCACGAGUCCCUUCACGCGCAGGAACCUGGACAGGAAACCGACGGCGGCGCUGAUCUCGGACUUCAUAGUUCCGCGCGCGCAGAGCGGAUGCAUCGAGGAAUCUUUCAACACGCAGCGUCGCGCGCUUCACCUUCACGUCUUAACGUCAACUCUGUUAGUGCCUCCGUUUUCCGGUGAGGUUUUUUUUUUUUUUUUUUUUCUUUUACGGCCGAUGCUGGGCAUGUAUUUAUCCAGGAAAUGUUUGUGGUGGUGUUGUUUCUUUUGGGAUUUUUUCUCCCCCCGACCAAGGUAUCCUUCUUGUUCCGUGAUGACGUCACUGCACGGCGACUCCGCAGACCUACAGAGCUCCCAGGACUGAAGAAGAGGACAGCUUGGUAUAUAUACCGCGCCAUGACUCCGCCCACAGCUCACCAGCAACAGCAACAGCACUGGACCAAUCAAAGGAGAGCGACGCCGUGACGCAUGCGCGGAGGAGGAGAGUGUUUGCGUCACUCCCACAGAAAAACACAGCCUGUUUUUCUGGGGCUGAUUGAGGAGUUGAAGAAGAAGAGGACGGAUUUAAUUUGUCACACAGACACAACAGUACAGUGGAAAAAAAUGAUUAUCUUCUCCUGUCAGGAAGGUCAGAGGUUAGAGUGUGUGGUUAAGGAGCAGAGAGGUUUAAGGGCCUCGCUCAGGGGCCCAACAGUGGCAGCUUGACCCCUGACCUUCUGAUCAGUAUCCCAGACAAUACUCUGUCCCUAACUAUAAAACACACAACGAUAAACAUGGCCGCCGUAUCAAGAUGAACGUAGUGUUAAUACACUGCACAUUGCUUUCAAAAUCCUUAGGCACAUGUGCUUUCUACUCAUAUAUACAGUAAAUAUUCUCCAUUAAGGCCUCUGUUUCAUUAUAGUUAUUAUAUUUAUAUUAUUUCUGGAAAUUUGAAAAGCACUAAAUACAUACAGUAGACCUGGCAUGAUACCACUUUUGGUGCUCUUGUGCUUAACAGAAAUAAACACGACCAAACCGAUAGUACAUGACAUCACAUAAAGGGGCGUGGUCAUCAUCAAACAGGAAGUCAGCCCCCAAAAAGCUUGAGGUAGAAAAAGUACACGUGCUUCCGACGUAGAUGUUCUACUGUAACAAAAGAGCCGUAAAUGAUAACGAGUCUUUAUCGAUCACGUAUACAUUACAGCACAGUGGAAUUCUUUUCUUCACAUACCCCAGCAUGUCAGGAGGUUGGGGUCAGAGCGCAGGGUCAGCCAUGAUACAGCGCCCCCUGGAGCAGAGAGCGUUAAGGGCCUUGCUCAAGGACCCAACAGUGGCAGCCUGGCAGCGCUGCAGCUCGAACCCCCGACCUUCUGAUCACUAACCCAGAGCCUUGACCUUGUUUUGUUCCUUGUAAGAAAGCGUAAGCAAAGUGUAUAUACAGAGACGACACACCACACUGAGGCAUUUUACUGCUUUUACUGCUGUUCUGCAACAAGGCGUUGGGAAUUACCCACUGUGUAAGGGGAAAUCCUGCACACAGGGUAACAUUAAAUGUCAUUUCUCACUUUUCACAGCUAGUUUCGCGACCAAAUGCAGAUCUGUUGCAGUUCCUCAUAUGUCAUCUUGCUCCUCUGUGCAUUCCGUUGCUCGUGAAAGUGAUCAUCCUGGAAAAAGACCUAUCGUCAGGAUUGAAAACCCGACCGUGGUCGUACAGAUAUUUUGGACAAAAAUUUUACCAUACUAAGGCUUUAGUUUUACACAAAUACCACUACUACUGGUCUUCAGCGAAAGACGAAUCUGAACGGCUGUGUCUGUUUGCUGGAAAUAGAUAACACAAAAACCCUAUUCUUAACACUUAUCUCUUUGGAAAGUUGUGACCUUGCUGCUCUGUCUGUAGUGUAAAGUGUACGUGUGUGUUUUCCAUGUGUAGGACGGUUUCUUCAUCAGCGCUAUCAGCACUCGAGGGACACUUCACUCAAGGCCCAAUCAGCUUGAACAGUGCUCUUCAUGGAUAAUCAGCCAUUCUGUGCUUUAAAUGGUCGCUCAGUUUGUGCUGUUUGACCAGUGUGCCCAGACUCAGAUUGGACUGAACACCCUUUAGUUUUUUAAAAACUUUGAUAUUUGUCGUUAUAUUUUCCUUGCACGUUUUCAGGAACCGUAUGUUUUAUGACCUGUGAGUGAACGACACAUAACUGGAUGGAAAGUGAGCGUCGUUGAGGAUGAGUCAAGCCAUCAGUAUGUGCAAGCAGCUUCUGAUUCCCCGUGUCCAGAGCAUGAAGAUACGUGUUCCUGUGUCAUAAAGACACAGGCCGAGCCCGGUUUUCCUUUCAACGCUUUUCCUUUUAAUAUUAUAACUACGGGGCAUGGGGAACAGGUUCGUGACAUUCCGAGGAAUCGGUUUAUGACAUUAUCAUGGUUUUGUACUUAUUUAUAUCGAAACGAUGUUUUUCUCAGCCGUAGUUCAUGGAACUCCUGCGUGGCGAACCAAAAAUACUGACUACUUACGGGAGGUCCUUUCUAACGGAAGAAAGAAGUAAUAUUUUUUAACGCUGUCAAUUAUUACAGCAUUACAUCACUGACUGAUUAUAUCAGUCAAAUACUUAAACCAGUCAGAUUUGUUCUUUUUCUCUUACUCUCCCUUGCAUGGGAGGAUAUUUCUGCUUUCACAGACUCCCUUAAGGUGUUUAGUGCGUGUGUAAACAAGCAGGAAGGUGUGAGUGUGUGUGUGUGUGGAAGGAGAAGGCUCCGCAGGAGACGUGCUAACAGCAGCACAACUUCCUGGAGCAGAAUACAUGAGAGCAAGUUUUAACUGGAUGUGUAAACAGUCAAUUCAUCAAUUGUCAGGUCUCAGCUUCACUCAAGGUGCGAUCCUGGUCACCAGGGAGCCUAAGGAACGAGCCGUUUCAUGUCUCCUCGCAGGUGUGAGAGUCAGGGAGUGAGGGUGGGAGAGGAGGAAAGCAGGCUGAGUAUAGCUACUCACACCCCAUGACACACACACACAGACACACACUUGUCAUUCAAACUGAUGCAUGUGUGCUGAACAAACGCAUACUCAUACCAGCAAAUGAACUACUUCCAAUGCCGGAGUAUACAGAAGAAAUUGUACUUUAUUAUUGUACUUAAGUGUAAUUUUGGUGCGUCUCCUUUGCGAUCCUUAAUACGCGCAAAUUCCAUCUCAUUUGAAAAAGCAUGGUGGGAUACAUUUCAGUUGUUUGCUUACAAUAAUGGGCUAUAUUUAACUAAGAUAACCUGAUUUCUUUGCUAACGCCAGGUUAGACUAGCAUCAGUUCCAGCAGGUCGCAUCAUUAGCUUAGCAUCGAGUCAAAUUCUAGCUAAUGGUAAAUAUUCGUUAUUAUUUUAUUCGUAUUAUUUUACUUCUGAUUACUUCAUUAUCAAACUAUGUAGCAUUCGUCAUGCAUGUGACCAGCAAACCCACAGAGACUGAAUGAAGGUGUAGUUGCUUAAAAAUGAAUUCAUCUAAAAUAAAGUUUUAAAUAAAGUUAUUUUUCACAUGAAAACA